GUUUCAAGGCUGAUUCCAGGCUGAUGCACAAGUAUAUUCAAAUUCAGUUCCCAAGGUCUUGAGUCCAGAAGCAUGGUGGCGAUAGCUUAUAGAUAAUACUUUUAUAAUCUUCUGCUGUCUUUCCUAUAUUUGACUCUCCUGGGUGACCACUACAAUGGCACAGCCUAGUCAGUUCAGAUAUUAGGAUCUUUACGUUUCAAAUGUUAUUGUCCUUUCCCCUUUACUUGUAUCACUGUCAUUGAGUUACUAUUUCCUACUACAUUUCCCAUAAUUCUUCACUACAUUCAUUCCACCCAGCCAGCUCUCUUUUUCACCCUCCCUAGAAUCUGACAGGCCACAGAAAUAUCUGAUUUCAAAGAGAUGCUCGCAUUCUAUACUGAUGCCAUCUAGGAGUGUAAAUGCCCCAUGUCACACUGCUGAGUGGAGAAAGGUUUUCUUCACUUGUCUCCUUCCUCCUCAAGAACAAGAACUACUUGAGAGCAGAGAGCAGGUAUUACUCCUCUUUGUGCAUCCCCAGCAGUUUCCUGGAGGAUGGGGCAUUGUAUGUGCACAAUGGCUGUUGAAGGAAUGAAAACUGUGGUCAUUGGAGAGAAGGGGUAAAGGGAAGUAGAGUUAAGGUUGUAAGAGUCAAAAUUAUUUAGGAGUAAUGAGACUAUUAUGUUGGCAGUUUGGUCCCCGUCAGUGUUGAAGUCAUGUCCAGAGUGAUGGCAGUAGUUAAAGUGAAGAGGCAAAUCAUGAAACAGAUGUCAAAGUUCUGAGGAGAGAAAAAAGUAUGAACCUAAAAUGUAAGAAGGCAUUGGCAUGGAGAUUAGCUUCAACUGCUGGCACAAACCACUUAUAAACAGAAGUAUCCAACAUAUAAAGAGUUUUCCAUGAAGAGGAAGGUGUAUUGUCUGGUGAUACCUGGGGAAACGGAAUGCCAACACUACUCAUAGUAUGUGAGAUAUGAAGUAUCCCUUUAAGAUGACUGAGUAUUCUUUAUCUCCUAUCUUCAAUGUCCUAAAGCAAUUUUCAAAACAGAGCUUAUGAUAUCCUUCAUUUUCUUCCACCAAAAUAUAUACAAAUCAACAACAACAGUAUCAUGGGAUGAAUCAUGUCCCUUAAAAAUUCAUAUGUUGAAGUCCUAACCCCCAGUACCUCAGAAUAUAACUGUAAUUGGGAAUAGGGUCUUUAAACAGAUAGUUAAGAUAAAAUUAUCAUUAGUGUGGGCCCUAAUUCAACAAAAUUGAUUUCCUUAUAAGUAAAGGAAACUUGGACACAGACAGGUACAGUGGGAAGACAAUGUGAAGACACAGGGGAAAGUUGACCAUUUACAAGCCAAGGAGAGAGACCUCUGAAGAAACAAACUCUGCUGACACCUUGGUCUUGGACUUCUAGCCUCUAGAACUGUGAGAAAUAAAUUUCUGUUGUUUAGACCA
rnacentral:lncRNA from 1 species